ACGUGAUCUGAGUUCAGACCGGAGUAAUCCAGGUCAGUUUCUAUCUAUAAGGGGACUUUUCUAGUACGAAAGGAUUGAAAAAACGUGGCCCAUGUUAACUAUAAGCCACUAUUAAUAAUUUAUGAAUUACCCUUAAUUUAUACUUAACCCAACAACACACUUAAGAAAAAAGUA
rnacentral:rRNA from 1 species